rnacentral:tRNA from 1 species
GGUGGCUCAGUGGUAGAGUGCUUGCCUAGCAUGCAUGAGGCCCCUGGGUUCAAUUCCUCAGCACCA